UAUUGCAUUGGGGAUCAGGUUUCAAAAUAUAAAUUUUGGAGGGACACAAACAUUUAGACCAUAACAGUCUCCUUUUCUGCUUCCUAAUACAGACUUGAGUUUGUUUAGCUAUUUCAUCUCCCCUGUGCAGCCACAUGUUUAGGGGAGACUGCCUCAUCCACUUUCCAAGCUCCUGAUGGGUCCUAGCCAAUUGUGGCCACCUCAUAUAACUUGCCAGUGGUUGGUUUAAACAUGAGCAUAUGAUGCGAUUUUGUCCAACAAGACCCAAGGGAUAGGCUGGUGGGGGGUUUCUAGGAAAGAUUUAUUCACUUUUAACAAGAGAUACAAAGAAAUGUCAACCCCUAUCUUGUUUCUCUGAAACAGUUGUGUGUGGACGUCUCACUUAAAACUCCUUCAGCUCCCGUGUAAGCACAGGGAGAAGCUGGAAUGCCGGGGGCGGAGGAGCAGAAAGGUGAAAAUGAUCUGAGUCCUAAGUUUCACAUGCGUGAGCCCUGGAGAGCCUUAUCUCCUGACUUUUGUUUCAGGAGAUGGUCAAUUUCCCCUGAUGUUUGCUCCGUUGAAGUCUGUUUUACGGCAAAUCCAAGAAGCAUUCUCGUGUAGGAGUGUCAGAGCCACACGGAUGUUUACACCUGCGUCGGGGCUGUAGCCCUCAUGCCACAGCUGAUCGGCACAGAAGCGGAUGGAAGGGGAUGUCUGUGGCGUCACCCUCUUGAAGAUUGAUCAUUUUACUGCCUAGAUAAAAAGUGAGACAAACCACA
rnacentral:lncRNA from 1 species